UACGAAGGGGGCUAGCGUUGCACGGAAUUACUGGGCGUAAAGCGCACGUAGGCGGGUUCUUAAGUCGGUGGUGAAAUCCUGGAGCUCAACUCCAGAACUGCCUUCGAAACUGGGAAUCUUGAGUCCGGGAGAGGUGAGUGGAACUGCGAGUGUAGAGGUGAAAUUCGUAGAUAUUCGCAAGAACACCAGUGGCGAAGGCGGCUCACUGGCCCGGUACUGACGCUGAGGUGCGAAAGCGUGGGGAGCAAACAGG
rnacentral:rRNA from 1 species